CAUUAUCUUUCAAUAAUUUGAUAAUGAAAAAAGACCCAAUCAUUAAGUGUCAUAUCUCUGUUUUCACAGUCAAAUCCGAUCAGCGAUUUAUAUAAAUUGCGUGCAAUAACUUUUGUUUGUAGUCAGUUUCUUAUUUUGUUGCAAGUUGUCUAACAUGGAGAAAACGAAGAUCCUGCUGUUGAUCUGUCUGAUUUACUUCAAUGAAUUUCCUUCCGUAACCAGUCAACAGAUGUGUACUCGAGCCGAAGUGAGGAAUGAAUGCCAUAAUGAUUGCAUAAUAUUUAGAAGACCCAUCUGUAUAAAAAUUCCUCGAUGUGCCUGUCCGAAUCUUCCUACCAAGGGAGGUUUACACAAGGAAAGACAAUAAAUGAACUCUACAAUUCCUCCCCAUAUCAAUUUCUUGUUCGCAUUCGUUUUCCAAUUGUUGUACUCCGCAAUCGAAUUUGAUCUUUUUCUGUUUUAAUUUAAGAUUUAACUUUUUUGCUUCUUUAAUUUUGUGUAAAUAUAUUCCUUGCCGGAAGGCAUGGCAGUGCAACAAUUCUUAUUAAAUAAAUAAACGAAAUUUCUUUUUAAAA